AGCUGCACUCAGCUCUUAAAUGCAGCUAUUCACAGAGGGCCCAGGCUCUCCCCUGCCCUGUGACACUACGUGGGACACACACCUCCACAGGUGACUAUCAACCCUCACGCAGGCAAAGCCUCUGGAAGCUGUUCUUGUCUUCAUGGACACAGUGUUGCAAAGACGCAAGGGCGUCCAUGCGGUCCUGGGGAAGAGCUGCAGCAAGGCCCGGCAGGGUGGGCAGGCCUGUGGGUCUGUGUUCAGGUGACGGCUGGUCUGAGCAGCGCACUGCCUGGUCUCCUGCUUGGACAGCAGCGAGGGCAAGUAAUGCUGGACUGGGAGUCAGGCUAUUCCACAUCCUUGAAAUCUAGUUAUUUCCAUUAGCUUUGCUUUGUUAAUCAAAAAGUAUCUGAGACAGAUCUCAAUCAAUUUAGAGAUUUAUUUUGCCGAGGUUAAAGAUCAUGGCCCAUGACAUAACCUCAGAAGAUCUUGAGAACCUGUGCCCAAGGUGGUUGGGUUACAGUUUGAUUUUAUAAAUUUUAGGGAGACAGAACAGGCAAAGACAAAAAUCAAUAUGUAUAAGGUAUACAUUGGUUUGGCCUGGAAAGGUGGGACAUCUUGAAGUGGAGGCAUCUGCGUCACAGGUGGAUUUAAAGAUUUCCUGAUUGGCAAUUGGUUGAAAGGGCUAAGCUCUGCCUGAAGAGUUGAAAGCAGCUUGUGGUAAGGGAAUUUGAAGAAUCUCCAGGAGGGCCAGAGAGUAGACUUGGAUGCCACCCAGCCAGCAAUAGAGAAGUUGGGACCACCCAGCCAGGGACAAGGCCACACCUCAGCCAUCACCACCCACAAGCAACGCAGCAUGUAUGAGCUGGGACAGGACACCAGAAACUACCUCAUGAUUGCUCCGGAAGAAGCAGCUGCAGGUGCUCAGCCAUCUUUAUUUCCUGCCACCCCCAAACUAUGAAGACAGCAAAGCAGCCUGUGGAGAGGCUGCUCACAGAGGCAACCCCACCCUUACUUGGUGAUGGCACGUGGAACUCCACCUCCCAGGUGGAAAAUGGAAAAAUUGUUUCCUUCUCUGAUCUACUGCCUGAGCUGUCAUCAGGAUUUUGAGGACUGACUUAAUGAAUAAAAUAUAAAGGCUUAGCGUGAGCCUGGGAUAUGCAUGGUGGAAGAGAAUAAAUAGCCUUUUGUAUAUCAAAGAUACUUUCUGGGUAACCCAAUCUGAGAAAUAGCUACUUCAGCCACAUCUGCUGUUAGGGAAGGCUGAGAAAAUAGUGACUAUAAAAUGAAAUGAGGCUUGUAGGUGAACCACAUGAAAUCCUGUGAACCGGGGAGAAGUCACCAGCUAUUACAAUGGAGUCUAGCUAAGAAGGGGCACGUGGGGGUGGGGAGAUCGUGACCAAUCAACAGUGCAGCUUGAAAAUGUGGGUUUUCUCUUGGGAAGCUUCAUUCCCUGGGAAGGAAGAAGCUAUAACGAAACAGGAGCAAUGAAGCUUUGCCUGGAGAGGAUGCUGCUCACAUUUGCAUGUUAAAUGAACUGAGGCCUCUCCUGGCUCCCCUUGGAGGGCUCUCAGAGGCAGCUCUAGCCUCAGAGGGUCUCUUGCCCACAUCUUACUCUGGUUCAGAGCCCACAUCCCCAAAGAGAGCCUUGUACACAGCAGGUAUUCAAUCAAUAUUUGUAUUAAAUUGCAUUUUAAAAGCUGAUUACUUGAGUGACCCCUUCCCCUACCCACCCCCAAAGACUGUCCUCCAGUAUCUCUUUGUGCAUAUCCUGAAUUCAAGCUGCAGUGAGAGGCUUUAGCAAGAGAGAGAAAACCCACUCUAAAAGCUUCAUUUGCGACAAUUUCCAUUUUAUUUCUCACCACCACCAGCCUUUGGACGAACAGGUCCUAAAGAGCUAUGGAAACAGCAUCGUGGAAACAGCACGAUACAGUUAUUGAAUGACUGGUCUGGGCCAAGCAUUAUUCUCGGCGCUGGGGAUGCAGCAGGGGGCCUGGAUCAUACUCAAGGUCACUAGAUACUUGUUACAUGAGUGAAUGAAGUCAUUCAGUACUCAUUGGCUCCACUGGGCUCUGACUUGCUGGGCAUGACAAGCCCACCAGGGAGCCCUGGAUAUCCCUCCUCUUUCCAAGCAGCUGGGGAAGCUGGUUGCCCUGGAAACCUGUUUUAGGUGGCAGCAUCUUCCUCCAGGAGGUCGAGGUGUCUCCUGGACCUUAGAGACUCCAGGACACAGGACAGAGCUCUGAACUGUGGAGCCGGGAAACCUGGUUCCAGUCUCAGCCCAGAUUUACCAGCCGUAGACUUGGCCAAGUCACUCACAAAACCCAAAGGGUGAGGCAGAGCUGGCCCUGCCUGCAUGGCAGGGAGAUUUUGAGAAGCAUGAAGAGAGUCAGGAAGUGCCUGGGGAUCGAAUCCACCCAGCAGUGCAAGGCAUUGCUCUCCCAAUUCUCCAUUGGGAAAAAAAAAUCCAGACAAAGACAGUACAGAGAAUAUGGUAGCCAAUACUGCAGCAGUCACCACCCGGAAAAACAGACACUAAUAUAAUAACUUGUGAUUUUUGCUUCAUAUCUCUGUGGCAUAAAACCAUGACACAUAAAGUUUAUGUCCCCCUUUAACCAUUCCUCAAUGCUAUUCCCCUCCUCUCUCCCCCUCCUCAACGGCAACCACUGAUAUGUUCGCUCUAUUCUGUGCUUUUCAUAUUUUAAAUAUAUUGUUUAUGGGAAUGAUCAUAUAUAAGAAAUAUAUUAUACUGUUUGUUUUAAAAGUUUGCAUAAAUAAUAUCAAAGUAAAUUAUUUAAGUGUCCCCAGCAGUCCCUGUCCCCGUCCACCUUUCCCUCAGUUCUCUUCCAUCACAGUAAAGAAAACUGCCCAAACCUGGUCACCGCCCCUGGACUUUCGAAGUGGCUUCCUACUUGGGGUCCUGCUUCCAACAUUGGCCCUGUGAGUGACAAGGAUCUCAUUCCUUUUGUGCUCAAAGCUCUGGCCUCUCUCUCCCUCCUUGGCCUUGCCCAGCCCAGCCCCACCCCUGUCCUCAGAACCUCACACCUGUCGUUCCCCACCUGGGGUGCCCUUCCCGCUGGCUGGCCCCUCACCUCUCUCAGAUUUCUGCUCUAAUGACAGUAACUGGAGAGGCCUUGCCUGAAGUCCCCUCCUCUUUCUCCUUACCUUGCUUUUUGGUUAUGCAUCCUCCUCCUAAUUGCUUUAUUUAUUUAUGUGUUUAAUCACCAUCCUCUUACUUUUCUAAGGCUCGUCCUGAUUUUUUUCACAUCCUGGUAUCUGAGCCGGCAGUGAUUCUAUACCUGGCAGCAGCCUGUGCGGCAGAGCUGUGUGUAAAGGGGUCCAUGCAGAGCCCUGGGAGAAAGAAAAAUGAAGGGGAAAAGGUUGACCUGAGCUUUUUCACCUGGGGCUGGAAAGUGGACCAGAGCCUAUCAUUCCAACCUGCAGGUGCCUAAGGCCCAACAGAAAGUUCACCAGGAAAGACCAAGAGAAUUGGGGUGACCCUCCCACAGUAUCAGAGGGAAGGGGAGUGGGGAGGAGUACAGCAGUGCAGACCAGCCCCACAGGUGCUUAGCCAGGCCUUUGGUUCUGCCAGGGAAAGGAGGGUGCCUUCCACAGCAUGAAAACUACACCACGUCCCAAUGUGUCCGGGACCUGCCGCCAGCCGCCUGCACAGUAGUCAGGUGGAUGCCACCGGGAUACAGCCCACACUGACUCCUGACCCCAGGGGGUACAGCCCACGCUGACUCCUGACCCCAGGGGGUACAGCCCACGCUGACUCCUGACCCCAGGGGGUACAGCCCACAUUGACUCCUGACCCCGGGGGUUACAGCCCACACUGACUCCGGACCCCGGCGUGGGAGGGGCUGGCCCGAGAUGAAAUCUCGAAGGUGGGUCAGGCUAGGUCCUGGAGUCAGGGGAAGCGUGGGGUUCAGGCCAGGCCUGGGUUCUCCCUGAAGUGAGGCUGACUCUGAGCCUUUCUUGAAACCCCAAAUGUCACAGCAGUGCCCCGAAGGUAGGUGAGGCUCUGUUGCAGGGAAUGCUGAGGAAAAAGGGAACAUCAGGGAUUGGUCUGGCCUGAAGCCUGCACUCCCCUAAAUUAUACCCUGGUAUGAUUUGGGCUUGCCCUGGAGUUACCUCAACUAACCUGGGGUCCUUGGGGGAAACAGAGAUGGACAGGGUUGAUGUAUAUUUCGGGUUGAUUUGGACUCUAAGGAUUAUCCCAGCUCAGACCUCGCUCUCAAGGAAUAGGAGCCUGGCAUCUGUCUAUCACCCCCUUGGCCCUGGGUAUAGUCUGGAUGAGCAGAGGCACGCGUGUGGCCCCAAGAGUCCCACCCUCUGGCUCUCUCCUCCCAAGACAUUCUGGAGCCAUGACAUGUCUCCCAGGAAGGGAGAAUUAUUUUUGUCUGUGGCAUAAAUAAAGCCAGGAAUGAGUUCCAAUAAUCACAAGCACAUGCCAGCAUGUGGAGGCUACUCUGACAGCAGCAGAAGGUUCCAGCACUGCCUGCCCUGCUGGUCCUGGCUGCAGGGAGGUGACCGGGAUGGUCAGGGGUCGGGAGCAGGAGGGAGCCUCCAGGAUUUUAUUUAAAAUGAUCAGGUUUUUCAAACAAAUGGAAAAAUAAAAAAAUCUUGAAAACAAAUCUUUUAAAAAUUUACCCACUUCACUCCAGAUCUUAAGAAAUAAAAAUAAAACAUGACUAUUCCUCUAGAAUCCUGACCCAUACCAUACAACUCUCUUCCCAGAGGUCAUUGCCAACAUCGAUUUCUAUUUAUUUUUCUCAUGCUUGCUUUAAUAUUUCUACUAUAUAUGUAUGCAUCUAUAAAUAAACUCUAUGUGACAUUGUUUUGUGUUUUAAAAUCCUUUGACUUUUUACUGUACAUAUGAUUCUGCAACUUGCUUUUUAUUUUAGAAAAUUAGGGCA
rnacentral:lncRNA from 1 species